rnacentral:lncRNA from 1 species
UAUGGCACCCUCAACGGAGUUGGGGUGACGUAUUGUUAUUCUACGUUUCUUUUUUUUCUUAUUAUUAUUUUUCUUGCAACAAAUUUUGUCCAGGUGAUUUCUCGAAAUCCAAUGGACCAAUGUUGAUGGAACUCUACUAUAGUAAGGACCCCCAGGUGCAGAGUUGCAGGAAGCAUGGAAUGGUUCAAGAUGGCUACCGUUUCCAUGGAAACAGAACAAAUGUGAAAAAAUCCAGUUUUUUGUUUUGGUGAACUGUUUGGAUAUGCUUUAUCUCAGAAUCAUUAUAUUUUAAUACAAUGUAGGUGCCCACUAUAUACAGGUGUUGGAUGAUUUUGGUGAUCAUUGGAACUACUAUGUUGCCAUGGAAACUACACCAAAAAUUUCGAAAUUCUCAAAAUGCUCCAAACUUCAGGAAACUUCACAGUAACGAUGAGCAACAUUGGAAGAUGUGGAAUUUGGCGUUGGAAUUUCCAAAAUAUCUGUUGUUACCUUGGAAACAAUGCAAAAAGGUCAAAACUUUGAAUUUUCACAGAACAUUCCAGAACAUCAAUGUUAAAUUUAUUCUAGAGACAUUAAAUGGUAUAUUAUUAUGGAGGGCAAAAAAUGCAGCAGGGGUUUGACUUUGGAAUAUUCAAAAUGGCCGCCGUUACCAUGGAAACAGCAAAAAUAUGAAAAACUUCAAAAUGCUUCAAAUUUAAGGAAACUUAUAACAAAUGUUGCCUAGCUUAUGUAGACUUGACUUUUGAGUUUGGAAUUUUCUAAAUGGCCGCCGCUCACCUGGCAAUAGGGGAAGGGUGCCAUCCGUUAUUGCUAGCAAUUACAAAUCUAGUUU